rnacentral:rRNA from 1 species
ACGAACGCUGGCGGCAGGCUUAACACAUGCAAGUCGAGCGCCCCGCAAGGGGAGCGGCAGACGGGUGAGUAACGCGUGGGAAUCUACCUUUUGCUACGGAAUAACGCAGGGAAACUUGUGCUAAUACCGUAUGUGUCCUUCGGGAGAAAGAUUUAUCGGCAAGAGAUGAGCCCGCGUUGGAUUAGCUAGUUGGUGGGGUAAAGGCCUACCAAGGCGACGAUCCAUAGCUGGUCUGAGAGGAUGAUCA